rnacentral:rRNA from 1 species
GGCGAACGGGUGAGUAACACGUGGGGUAACCUGCCCAUCAGAGGGGGAUAACAUCCGGAAACGGAUGCUAAAACCGCAUAGGUCUUCGAACCGCAUGGUUUGAAGAGGAAAAGAGGCGCAAGCUUCUGCUGAUGGAUGGACCCGCGGUGCAUUANCUAGUUGGUGAGGUAACGGCUCACCAAGGCCGUGAUGCAUAGCCGACCUGANAGGGUGAUCGGCCACAUUGGGACUGAGACACNGNCCANACUCCUACCGGAGGCAGCANUAGGGAAU